rnacentral:rRNA from 1 species
GACGAACGCUGGCGGCGUGCUUAACACAUGCAAGUCGAACGGAAAGGCCCUGCUUUUGUGGGGUGCUCGAGUGGCGAACGGGUGAGUAACACGUGAGUAACCUGCCCUUGACUUUGGGAUAACUUCAGGAAACUGGGGCUAAUACCGGAUAGGAGCUCCUGCUGCAUGGUGUGGGUUGGAAAGUUUCGGCGGUUGGGGAUGGACUCGCGGCUUAUCAGCUUGUUGGUGGGGUAGUGGCUUACCAAGGCUUUGACGGGUAGCCGGCCUGAGAGGGUGACCGGCCACAUUGGGACUGAGAUACGGCCCAGACUCCUACGGGAGGCAGCAGUGGGGAAUAUUGCACAAUGGGCGGAAGCCUGAUGCAGCAACGCCGCGUGCGGAAUGACGGCCUUCGGGUUGUAAACCGCUUUCGCCUGUGACGAAGCGUGAGUGACGGUAAUGGGUAAAGAAGCACCGGCUAACUACGUG